CCUACGGGAGGCAGCAGUCGAGAAUCAUUCACAAUGGGGGAAACCCUGAUGGUGCGACGCCGCGUGGGGGAAUGAAGGUCUUCGGAUUGUAAACCCCUGUCAUGUGGGAGCAAAUUAAAAAGAUAGUACCACAAGAGGAAGAGACGGCUAACUCUGUGCCCGCAGCCGCGGUAAUACAGAGGUCUCAAGCGUUGUUCGGAAUCACUGGGCGUAAAGCGUGCGUAGGCUGUUUCGUAAGUCGUGGGGGAAAGGCGCGGGCUCAACCCGCGGACGGCACCUGAUACUGCGAGACUAGAGUGAUGGAGGGGGAACCGGAAUUCUCGGUGUAGCAGUGAAAUGCGUAGAUAUCGAGAGGAACACUCGUGGCGAAGGCGGGUUCCUGGACAUUAACUGACGCUGAGGCACGAAGGCCAGGGGAGCGAAAGGGAUUAGAUACCCCUGUAGUC
rnacentral:rRNA from 1 species